GAUGAACGCUGGCGGCGUGCUUAACACAUGCAAGUCGAACGGAAAGGCCCAAGCUUGCUUGGGUACUCGAGUGGCGAACGGGUGAGUAACACGUGGGUGAUCUGCCCUGCACUUCGGGAUAAGCCUGGGAAACUGGGUCUAAUACCGGAUAGGACCACAUUUUGGAUGGUGUGGUGGAAAGUUUUUCGGUGUGGGAUGAGCUCGCGGCCUAUCAGCUUGUUGGUGGGGUAAUGGCCUACCAAGGCGUCGACGGGUAGCCGGCCUGGGAGGGUGUACGGCCACAUUGGGACUGAGAGGCGGCCCAGACGCCUACGGGGGGCAGCAGUGGGGAAGAUUGCACAAUGGGCGCAAGCCUGAUGCAGCGACGCCGCGUGGGGGAUGACAGCCUUCGGGUUGUAAACGCCUUUCGCUAGGGACGAAGCGUUAUGUGACGGUACCUGGAGAAGAAGCACCGGCUAACUACGUG
rnacentral:rRNA from 1 species